rnacentral:rRNA from 1 species
CCUACGGGCGGCUGCAGUGGGGAAUAUUGCACAAUGGGCGCAAGCCUGAUGCAGCCAUGCCGCGUGUGUGAAGAAGGCCUUCGGGUUGUAAAGCACUUUCAGCGGGGAGGAAGGCGUUAAGGUUAAUAACCUUGUCGAUUGACGUUACCCGCAGAAGAAGCACCGGCUAACUCCGUGCCAGCAGCCGCGGUAAUACGGAGGGUGCAAGCGUUAAUCGGAAUUACUGGGCGUAAAGCGCACGCAGGCGGUCUGUCAAGUCGGAUGUGAAAUCCCCGGGCUCAACCUGGGAACUGCAUUCGAAACUGGCAGGCUAGAGUCUUGUAGAGGGGGGUAGAAUUCCAGGUGUAGCGGUGAAAGGCGUAGAGAUCUGGAGGAAUACCGGUGGCGAAGGCGGCCCCCUGGACAAAGACUGACGCUCAGGUGCGAAAGCGUGGGGGGCAAGCAGGAUUAGAUACCCCUGUAGUA